rnacentral:rRNA from 1 species
AUACGGAGGAUCCGAGCGUUAUCCGGAUUUAUUGGGUUUAAAGGGUGCGCAGGCGGGAGAUUAAGUCGGCGGUGAAAUUUUGCAGCUCAACUGGAAAAGUGCCUUCGAAACUGGUUUCCUUGAGUGUAGAUGAAGUAGGCGGAAUUUGUGGUGUAGCGGUGAAAUGCAUAGAUAUCACGAGGAACUCCGAUUGCGCAGGCAGCUUACUAAACUACUACUGACGCUCAGGCACGAAGGCGUGGGGAUCAAACAGGAUUAGAUACCCUGGUAGUCCACGCAGUAAACGAUGAUUACUAGCUGUUUGCGAUACAAUGUAAGCGGCUGAGCGAAAGCGUUAAGUAAUCCACCUGGGGAGUACGACCGCAAGGUUGAAACUCAAAUGAAUUGGCGGGG